ACCCAUUUUUUUCAGGAAACGUGACAAACCAGAACAAAAGGACAGCUCUCUAGUGAGAGCUCUCUUCCUCCUCCUCUAUUUUGAGAGUCUUUGGCUUCUUCCCACCCGUUAUGGGUGUUUUUCCCCUGAGCUCUGUCUCAGAUCUGGGGCUCCUUGCCUCCACUUCGGUUUCCUUUAGUUUUUUUCUGUUUUUCCCUAAGUUAAGCCCCCUCUAUGAGACCCUAUCUCCUCAUUCUCUCCCUCUCUUUUCUUCCCCAACCACCUUCACUGUCCACCCUCCAUUUCUUCCAUCUCCACUAUCCUCGCCUCUCCUUUGUUGUGAUGACGCUCACCCUUGGCCAGCGACUUCGUCUCGUCGCCAGUUUUCAACCACCACCUUUUGCUCUUCGGUUUCGCGUCCGCCGCUCCCGUGGUGGUUCGUGGCUGCACUUGCCUCUUGGAUUAUGGGAGCGCUUCCGCGCGGGUGGCUUGCUCACCCCAUCUUCCGUCGGCCUCUUUGGUACCCCUUGGUAUCGUUUACUUCUCCUUGGUGGUGGUGGAUCUGCUGGUGGUGGUGUUGGCUUGCUUUGGGUGGCGGCUGCUCUUGUGUUCUAAAUCUAGGGUUUUUUGUUUAAAGUUUUCUGGGCUUUGUUGCUUUUUUGGUUUUGUAUCUUUGGGCCUGCUGUAUUUGUUGGUUUUGGGCUGCAUUUGGAAUGAGUUUUUCUCAUUUUGUAAUGUUUCCCAUUAUUAAUGAAUAGAGUUUCCCUUGACCAAAAAAAAAAAAACUAACCCAUUUUCCCAAUCUUUCAUCCCAAACGCAACAAACCCCUCUCUUGAAAAUCGAUCAGAAUGACUCAUCUCUCAUCUUUCUCCUUCCUCCUUUCUCCAUGGAUAAGCGCUAGGGUUUCUGAUCUCAAAUUCUAUAUCUUUUCCCGAUCUUUCACUACUAAAUCUCUCUGUCUUUCCCAAUUUUUCACUAUUUUCCUACUGUAUCUCAAAUUCUCUCAACGUCUCUGUACUUGCUCCAAUUUGUCUCAAAUGGAAACCGGAGUUCUAGAAUUGAUGAGAGUCGACGAGCUUAUCUCAUGUCUGAUGGCUCGAUUGCUCUAGGCGAACAACGGAAAGCAAGAUCGGUGCUGUGAAAUCGAUAAUGAUAUCGCCAUUACGAUUACUUGUCACUUGGAUAUGGAAGCUGCGAUUUCUCUCCAGAAAUCGAAGGGGGAUUGGAAUCCAAAACGGUUUUUGGUUCGAUCCGAAGAACUUCGAUUUCUUGAGAGAAAUCGCAGCUUCCAGAUCCAAGUGACAAGUAACCGUAAUGGCGAUAUCAUUGUUGAUUUUGCGGCACCGAUCUCGCUUUACCUUGUUCGCCUGCGCAAUCGAGCCAUCAGACAGAUUGGAGUUGAUGAUUGAAAUUGAAGGGGAGGAUAUGGGCACUGAUGACAGGAAGUACGAUCGCAACUGAUGCAGACGUAGUGAAGGAAAGAACUUGGAGAAGAAUGAGGGGGAAAAGGGUGUAUACAACUUGGUGAUUGGGCCUUUUUGCACUUCUUGGUAAAUUGGUGGGUUCUUCGUUGCAAUUACCGCCAAAGCUUCGAAAAUGGAUGAAUCUUUUGUUUAUGAGUGCGUGCGAUUCUUCCUAUUUUCAAGUUGUGGAAGUUUUCUCACUAGAAAUGUUUAAGAAUCUUUUGAUCUAGUGAAGAUGUCAAGUAUU